UUGUCCACUCUUUUGAGAGGAGACAGUUAUGAAACGUGAGUAGAAGGGUCGAGUGUAAAAACCUUGACGUGAAGCAAUUGGAGGGCAAGUUUUGGUGCCAGCAGCCGCGGUAAUUCCAACUCCAAGAGUGUCUAUGGUGGAUGCUGCAGUUAAAGGGUCCGUAGUCGUAGAUGCAAUUAAAAGGUGGUGUUAAAAGCCAUUGAGUUUGUUGAGAGUAGCGGAACGGAUAGGGAGCAUGGUAUAGGUGGGCAAAGAAUGAAAUCUCAAGACCCCACCUGGACCAACGGAGGCGAAAGCGAUGCUCUUAGACGUAUCUGGGGAUCAAGGACGAAGGCUAGAGUAUCGAAAGUGAUUAGACACCGCUGUAGUUCUAGCAGUAAACUAUGCCGACAAUGCUGGGUGUUGCGAGAGCGAUGCUUGGUGUGGGAGAAAUCUUAGUUUUCGGGCUCUGGGGAUUAGUACGC
rnacentral:rRNA from 1 species